GCCUGGGUGGCUCAGUCGGUUGAGCAUCCGACUUCGGCUCAGGUCAUGAUCUCACGGUUCGUGGGUUCGAGCCCCGUGUCGGGCU
rnacentral:tRNA from 1 species